AUACGGAGGAUGCAAGCGUUAUCCGGAUUUAUUGGGUUUAAAGGGUGCGUAGGCGGGACUGUAAGUCAGGGGUGAAAUACUGCAGCUUAACUGUAGCAUUGCCUUUGAAACUGCCGUUCUUGAGUACAGUUGAGGUAGGCAGAAUGUGGUGUGUAGCGGUGAAAUGCAUAGAUAUACCACAGAACGCCGAUUGCGAAGGCAGCUUACUAAGCUGUUACUGACGCUGAGGCACGAAAGCGUGGGGAUCAAACAGGAUUAGAUACCCUGGUAGUCCACGCUGUAAACGAUGAUUACUGGUUGUUAGCGAUAUAUAGCUAGUGACUGAGCGAAAGCAUUAAGUAAUCCACCUGGGGAGUACGUCGGCAACGAUGAAACUCAAAGGAAUUGGCGG
rnacentral:rRNA from 1 species